AGCGAACGCUGGCGGCAGGCCUAACACAUGCAAGUCGAACGAACUCUUCGGAGUUAGUGGCGGACGGGUGAGUAACACGUGGGAACGUGCCUUUAGGUUCGGCAUAACUCAGGGAAACUUGUGCUAAUACCGAAUGUGCCCUUCGGGGGAAAGAUUUAUCGCCUUUAGAGCGGCCCGCGUCUGAUUAGCUAGUUGGUGAGGUAAAGGCUCACCAAGGCGACGAUCAGUAGCUGGGCUGAGAGGAUGAUCAGCCACAUUGGGACUGAGACACGGCCCAAACUCCUACGGGAGGCAGCAGUGGGGAAUCUUGCGCAAUGGGCGAAAGCCUGACGCAGCCAUGCCGCGUGAAUGAUGAAGGUCUUAGGAUUGUAAAAUUCUUUCACCGGGGACGAUAAUGACGGUACCCGGAGAAGAAGCCCCGGCUAACUUCGUG
rnacentral:rRNA from 1 species